rnacentral:rRNA from 1 species
UACGUAGGGCGCAAGCGUUAUCCGGAAUUAUUGGGCUUAAAGAGCUCGUAGGCGGUUUGUCGCGUCUGCCGUGAAAGUCCGGGGCUUAACUCCGGAUCUGCGGUGGGUACGGGCAGACUAGAGUGCAGUAGGGGAGACUGGAAUUCCUGGUGUAGCGGUGAAAUGCGCAGAUAUCAGGAGGAACACCGAUGGCGAAGGCAGGUCUCUGGGCUGUAACUGACGCUGAGGAGCGAAAGCAUGGGGAGCGAACAGG